UCUAGAUUUAAAAAAAAAAGAAAAACUCAACAUUCACACAAGCACGGAUAACAAAAGCCUGAGAUAGAAAUUUUGUUUUCUAAAAGGAAGCCAUUAUGGCACAAUCAGCAUCCUCUGUUUCUCUCUCUGCUCUCUUUCUCUCUCUCUCUCUCUCUCUCUCUCUCUCUCUCUCUCUAAGUUUCCGUCUGUUUCUUUGUCUCUAACAUUCACAUUCACACAAACGCAAACCCUAGGCCACCAUUCAACACCAAAAAGUUGUUGGACCUCUCGAUUUGCUUCAAAGAAUCAUCAUGGAAACUCCACGUCUCCUCAUCGAGCCUGUAGUUUGGCCCUCUCUUCUCUUUCUCGGUUGCAAACUGCCAAGCAUCAAAACGUUUGAUCGUUUUACUCAUAAAUACCUGAUUCUGAUUUUUUUUUUUUUUUUGCUAAACCUUAAAUCGAUUUGUUGAUCAAGGAAUUAUUAGGUAUUUUCUGGAUAUUAUUACUAUUCAAUUUUUGAUUUAGUGAUAUGUGUUUGUGGUUGUGUUUUUCUACAUUUCAAUAACUCUUCCUCAGUUCCAGUUCUAUUUUAGAGUUGCAGAAGUUGAAAAGAUAAAUAGGAUAUCACAGGAUGGUAGCAGACGGGCAGUUAUAUAUUUGCUAUUACUACAAUUUUUAAUUAAAUAUUUGUUGUGUCCUAUAUUCCUUAUAUUAAACUUCUCGUAGUCACCAGGAAAAUCACUACAAAUUUGAGAGAGGGAAAAAACCCCUCAAGGGUCCUUACUCUUGUAUAUCAACCAUUUGCACUUGGGACACUUGCAAUACUGACAUACAAAAAGGCAAAAAUCAAUACCAGAAGAAGAAACGUAUUUGGAUAUAUCCUUUUUUUUCAUAAGUGCUCUUGCUGCUCUUGUUGUAAAGACCAUAAUUAUAUGUAUUACAUCUUCAACUUACUCCUUAACCAUAUGGUCUUGUAGUAACAUGUGUUAGUAACUCAAAUUCAAAUUAUUAAGCAUACAAGUCUACUUUGAUUCCAUCUUUCAUUGUAUUGCCACAGCUGGAUUUAGCUACAUGUGAAGAAGGAGGAAUUGGGACUUAUAUUGGAAUAUGUAUCAUUAGCGGUGCUUUUGGAGUUGCAGAUGCUCAUGUUCAAGGUGGAAUGGUUGGAGAUCUUUCAUUCAUGCUCCCGAGUUCAUGCAACAUUUGAUAAGCAUGUCCACUCUGGCAAAAGUGGAGGAAAUAAUGUUCGAGAGAUGGAUUUUGAGAGUUUUCUCGACUUUGUUCUGGCCCUAGAAAACAAAGACACUCCAUAGGGGUUAACUUAUUUGUUUCAUUGUCUUAAUGUCCAUGGAAGAGGAUUCCUCACAACAACUGAUAUUCACACACUUUUCAGCUGAAGUCGCAAAUUCUAUGUGGUAUUGAUCCAACCAAGCACCAUAUGGCCAUGACAUUGUUUCCAUAAUGGGAAAGGUGGAUCAGAUCAUUCUCAAAAUGUUCCUAAUGACGAGAUAGGCAUUGGACAUGGAGGGUCUUCUGGCAGAGGUUAUGGGCUUUCGGCUAUUGGAAAUGGUCCAUCUGUCGAAUCUUAUCGUUAUCAUGAUGAAAUUACUAUUAGUGAAGCUAGCUGAUUUUCUGUUAUUCUGAAAUGUGUGCUUGCACCUGUUGCUCCUGUUAUUGCUGCAACAUCUUGUAGCUCGACUUUCUUCGCGCCCCCUUUCAGAGAGGUCGAAUUGGUCCUACAGUUUGGACUCCUGUCACGGUUCUGAAUCUAAUCUCACAAAGUGCAAUGUGAGAUUGAUAAACACCAAAGA